rnacentral:lncRNA from 1 species
AGGCGCUGCGAGAGUUUGGGUGCCCCCCCUGGGAACAGCCCCCCAAGGCGGAGGAGCCGCUCAGCCCCCCGGUGAUCCUGGAUGACCCCGGCGAUCCCGAGCUGGCCCAGGCUGUGGCCGCCGCCCGCGGGGCCGCCCCGGGGAGCUGCCCGGGGGGCGGGCCCUGCUGACGAGGCGGCCGCUCGGGGUGCUGGGCGUGGCCUGGGGUUGGCCCCGCCCCCUGGCGCUGGAGCUCCUCCUCCCGGCGCUGGCGCUCGGGAACGCGGUCGUGGUGGUAGCGCCUCCUGGCGGCGCCGGUGCCGCACAGCGGCUGCGGAAGUCUCUGGUGGCCGCGGGGCUGCCGGGGGCGGCCCUGUCGGUGCUUCCCGGCGCUUCCCAGGGCUGCGGACGUCGCCUGGCGCGGCAGCGCCCGGACGGGCUGUGGCUGUGCGGGGGGGACGCGGUGAGUGCGGGGGCGGUGCGGGACAUUUGGGGGGGGGACAGCGGAGAGCACGCGGGGAAGGGGGGUGGGCACUGGGACGUUUUGGGGGUCCCGAGCCGUGGGACGGCUGCUGUGGGGGAUUUUGGAGUGGGGGGGGCACACCCCCCGGCUGU